GUCGGCUGGUUUCUCUCUUUUCCAGGAUAUAGGACUUAAUUGGUGAGCCACCAUCUUCCAAGGGAGGUGUCCAGAUAAUGGUUCCUGUACUCUCUGAUGGAGCACUGAUAGCACCUGCUGUAUUCUUUGCUCUAAUUCGGAAUUCAUAUUUCCCACCCUCGACAAGGAUGUAGUUGGUGAUCUCAGAACCUCCAUCGUCCUUUGGAGGACCCCACUUUAAGGUUAUGGCUUCUGCUGUGACUUCUUCAAAUUUGAUCGGUCCAGUGGGGAUGCCAGGCUUGCCAACAACUUUUAUGGACACGGAUGGAACUGGCUUGCCUUUUAUGGGGAUCUUAAGACGGAAGUUGCUGUUUUCUUUGGCCAAGUAGCACAAGUCUGGUAGGUCCUUUAAGUCAAGGUCAGGAGCCACUGUAAAACAGCAGAGAGAAGUCAUUUUUUAAUGCCAGGCAGUUAAUUUUUUCAGAUCAUUAUAGUUUUUAAAGGGUUUUUACGUAAGCUAGGGAAUAGGGCUCAAGAGCACUUUUAGUUUUUUAUAUGGCGCAUUUUAAAAGUCUCUAUUGAAUUUGUCACGAUGUUAUUUCUGUUUUAUGCUUUGGUUUUUUGGCCAUGAGGCA